rnacentral:rRNA from 1 species
CCUGGUUGAUCCUGCCAGUAGUCAUAUGCUUGUCUUAAGGAUUAAGCCAUGCAUGUCUCAGUACAAACGAUUUUGUACAGUGAAACUGCGAAUGGCUCAUUACAACAGUUAUAGUUUAUUUGAUCGUGCGGUACUACGUGGAUAACCGUGGGAAAUCUAGAGCUAAUACAUGCACCAUCGUCCUCAAUUGAUGUUUUCGAAUUGAGAUUGGGGCGGGAUUUAUUAGAUCAAGAACCGAUCGCCUUUAAAAGCGUGGCGGGAUGAAUCAUAAUAACUUUUCCGAAUCGCAAGGCUGCGAUAGGCCGGCGAUAAAUCAUUCAAAUUUCUGCCCUAUCAACUUUCGAUGGUAGGGUAGUGGCCUACCAUGGUGUUGACGGGUAACGGAGAAUUAGGGUUCGAUUCCGGAGAGGGAGCCUGAGAAAUGGCUACCACAUCCAAGGAAGGCAGCAGGCGCGCAAAUUACCCAAUCCUGAUUCAGGGAGGUAGCGACAAGAAAUAACGAUAAUAGGCUCUAUCGAGUCUAUUCAUUGGAAUGAGGAUAAUUUACACCCCUUCACGAGGAUCCAUUGGAGGGCAAGCCUGGUGCCAGCAGCCGCGGUAAUUCCAGCUCCAAUAGCGUAUACUAAAGUUGUUGCAGUUAAAAAGCUCGUAGUCGAAUUUCAGUUUUAAACUGCUAUCUUGUUAUAAUUUAUAAUAAAGGUUAGGUGAGUUUAAAACUUAUUUUGCUUGUUUGAAAAUUACCUCUUAAUUGAGUAUUUUAAAACUAUGCAUUUUUUACUGUGAACAAAAUAGAGUGUUCAUGGCAGGCCUUUAAGGCUUAUAUACCUCAGCAUGGAAUAAUAGAGUAGGACUUCCGGUUCUAUUUUAUUGGUUAUUGGAGCCGAAGUAAUGAUUAAUAGGAAUAGUUGGGGGCACUCGUACUCCGUAGUUAGAGGUGAAAUUCUUGGAUUUACGGAAGACGAACAACUGCGAAAGCAUCUGCCAAGGAUGUUUUCAUUGAUCAAGAACGAAAGUUAGGGGAUCGAAGACGAUUAGAUACCGUCGUAGUCUUAACCAUAAACUAUGCCGACUGGGGAUUGGUAGAUGUAUCAAAUACGACUCUAUCAGUAUCCUAUGAGAAAUCAAAGUCUCUGGGUUCUGGGGGGAGUAUGGUCGCAAGGCUGAAACUUAAAGGAAUUGACGGAAGGGCACCACCAGGCGUGGAGCCUGCGGCUUAAUUUGACCCAACACGGGAAAUCUUACCAGGUCCGGACAUAGGAAGGAUUGACAGAUUGAGAGCUCUUUCUUGAUUUUAUGGGUGGGG